ensembl:lncRNA
GUCUAAGUUGAAAGUAAAAAUGCUGACAUGAUAAUCAAAGCCAAUCAUAUACUGUAUAAUGCAGGACCAGUAAAACUUCUAUGUGCCACAGAAAGUUACAGAAUAUGCAAAAUACGGUAUACUUCAUUCAUUGCUUGUGGUCGUGGCUGCUUAAUUGGACCAAAAUCUGGGCACUUUUGUUAAAAAUGGAUGAGACCUUUUACUUAUGUAUUUUUUUUAUUAUUAUUAUUAUUAUUUUUAAGUUGAGAUUAAAUAUAUUUUCAGUGUGGUUUAGACUUGUGGACCCCACUGUAAAAUAUUAAAAGUGUCUGAUAAUAUGAUAUUACUGAGAUAAAGUGAGUAGCGCUGUUUUUGGCUGGUCAUGUGAUUUGUCUGUCCAUGCUGGAAGAAAAAGUAUAUUGUGUCAUGAUGUGACACAAUCACAGCCAAUCAGAAUAUAUUUGAUGUAUUAUAUAUGUGGGGCAGAAUUUUGCACUAAGAAAUAUUUCUUCUUAGCUAAAUGCUACAGAAAGUGCUUGUGGUUGUGGCUGAUUAAUACUAAAAAAAAUCUCUUUUUUCUCUUUUUCCCCUCAUUUGCUCUCUGAAUUGGAUCGGUUCAAAUUGAACUGGUGGACAAAUAGGUCCCAAAGCUUCUCACAUGUGACCACAAGCUCGGGCAUGUCAGCUGCUUCUGCUCUCCUCUCUGGAUGACAGAUACAUCAGGUCUGGGUUCAGCUGCAGGGCCUCAGGAGAGUGAGAGGAAGCUGCUCUCAUCCUGGCCCAGCGUUGAGAAGUGUAGUGCAGGGAGAGUUUCCAGCUCCACUGGGAAGCGGCUGGUGGCUCUGCCCUGCGCUCUGGCCAUGCGAGAAGCUGUUGUCUCAGACCUCUUUGAACCUCUCAAACUGAAGCCCUCUAGAACACCUAAACAUUUUCCAUUGUCCGGUAACAUUUCCUUUGGUCUCUUCUCUGUGUCUGUUUCUUGUCUAGUCAGAGGAAGAUGGUAUAAGAGGAAUUCAGAAGGCCAAGGACAAGAUAAAAAAACGAACUCAGGCGAUAACGCUCAGACUACAAAUCUGGUUACACAAAGCAGAUGGCUGCAGUGGCCCGAGUCAUCACAGCACUGACGUAUGGACAGUCUAAUCGAAUUAUUACAGUUCCUAGUUCAUCACAGAACAGAGCCUGAUGUUUACUUCUCAUAUAUUUCUUAGACAACUAUACAUAUUGCAUGAAUGUUGCUAUUGGGUUUGGGAUAUGUGGGUGUUUAUUUUUCACUGCCUGCUUGUUUAUUUGUUGUUGUGUAAACUGUUUUUUUAUAUACUUCCAAUAUUUUGGCUUGUUUUGUUGCAUUACUGAUAGCUUGUGCAUUAUUUUUCAUCCACUGUAACAUUCAAAUUGUCAUUGAUGAUGUUAAAUGCCUUGCUGGAGAAAGUCAGUUUCUGUAAAUGCCCAAACUUUACUUUUCUGACCUAUUUUGGUUAUUUCAAUUAGCCUUUGGAACAUAUCCUGCAAUACUGCAAGGAUAACAAACAGUUAUUGAACACAAGUUGAUCUAAGUUUGGGGCAUGUUGUCACAAUAUAUAGUUCAGGUUAUCACAAUAGAACCUGCAAUUAAUGAAACAGCAGAAAUGUAAAAGGGAAACUGUCAAUAAAUAUAAAUAAACAAUUUAAAUUUCUAUUUUA